rnacentral:pre_miRNA from 1 species
AUUUGCGUCUUACCAGGCAUGUUUAGAUGUUGCUAUUGUCUCUAAUACUGCCUGGUAAUGCCGCCAAU